CUCCUGUUUGAAGUAUUUGAUGAAAACAGAUUGACACGAGACGACUUCCUGGGUCAGGUGGACGUGCCUCUUAGUCACCUUCCAACAGAAGAUACAACCAUGGAGCGACCCUAUACAUUUAAGGACUUUCUCCUCCGACCUAGAAGCCAUAAAUCUCAAGUAAAGGGAUUUUUGUGGUUGAAAAUGGCCUACAUGUUGAAAAUGGCCUACAUGCCGAAAAACGGAGGUCAAGAUGAAGAAAACAGUGAGCAGAGGGAUGACCCUGAGCAUGGGUGGGAAGUUGUUGACUCAAAUGACUCAGCUUCUCAGCACCAGGAAGAGCUUCCUCCUCCUCCUCUGCCCCCAGGGUGGGAGGAGAAGGUGGACAAUUUAGGGCGCACCUACUACAUCAACCACAACAACCGGACCACACAGUGGCACCUACCAAGCUUAAUGGAUGUGUCCUCUGAGUCGGACAACAACAUCAGGCAGAUCAACCAGAGGCCGCACACCUAAGCUUCAGCUCUCGAAGGCACAUCAGCGAGGACUUGGAGCCCGAGGCCUCGGAAGGUGGGGAGGGCCCAUGCCUUGGGAGACCAUUUCAGAGGAAGUGAACAUGGCAGGAGACUCCCUCGGCCUGGUACUGUCCCUGCUUCCAGCCUCCCCGGUGUCUCGAAUAAGCCCUCAGGAGCUGUCAGAGGAGCUGCGCAGAAGGCUUCAGAUCACUCCGGACUCCAAUGGGGAGCAGUUCAGUUCUCUGAUUCAGAGAGAGCCUUCCUCCAGGCUGUGGUCCUGCAGUGUCACCGAUGCGGUUUCAGAGCAGGCCCACCUACCACCGCCAUCGGUGGCCUAGGUACAUACCACGCCAAGCCUCCCUUCAGACUGGGAAGAAAGAAAAGAUGCUAAGGGACGUACAUACUAUGUCAAUCAUAACAAUGGAACCACAACAUGGACUCAACCAAUCAUGCAGCUUGCAGAAGAUGGUGCCUCUGGAUCAGCUACAAGCAGUAACAGCCACCUACCUAAUCGAGCCUCAGAUCCGCUGGCCUCAUAGCCUCAGUUCGCCAACAGUAAUUCUGUCUGCCCCACUGGAGGGUGCCAAGGAUUCACCCAUACGUUGGGCUGUGAAAGAUACCCUUUCCAAUCCCCAGUCCCCUCAGCCGUCACCUUACAACUCCCCCAAACCACAACACAAAGUCACACAGAGCUUCCUGCCACCCGGCUGGGAAAUGAGGAUACCUCCAAAUGGCCGGCCCUUCUUCAUUGACCAUAACACAAGACCACGACGUGGGUAGAUCCACGCCUGAAGUUUCCAGUACACAUGCGGUCAAAAGCAUCUUUAAAUCCUAAUGACCUUGGCCCUCUUCCUCCUGGUUGGGAAGAAAGAAUUCACUUGGAUGGCCGCACAUUUUACGUGGAUCAUAAUAGCAAAAUUACUCAGUGGGAAGACCCAAGACUGCAGAACCCAGCCAUCACUGGUCCAGCUGUUCCUUACUCCAGAGAAUUUAAGCAGAAAUAUGACUACUUUAGGAAGAAAUUAAAGAAACCCGCUGAUAUUCCAAAUAGGUUUGAAAUGAAACUUCACAGAAAUAACAUAUUUGAAGAGUCCUACCGAAGAAUCAUGUCUGUGAAAAGACCAGAUGUCCUCAAAGCAAGACUGUGGAUCGAAUUUGAAUCAGAGAAAGGUCUAGAUUAUGGCGGUGUAGCCAGAGAAUGGUUCUUCUUGCUCCUCCAAAGAGAUGUUCAACCCCUGCUAUGGUCUCUUUGAGUACUCUGCAACGGACAACUACACACUUCAGAUCAAUCCCAAUUCAGGCCUCUGUAAUGAAGACCAUUUAUUCUAUUUCACCUUUAUUGGAAGAGUUGCUGGUUUGGCAGUGUUUCAUGGGAAACUCUUGGAUGGUUUCUUCAUUCGACCCUUUUACAAGAUGAUGUUGGGAAAGCAGAUAACUCUGAAUGACAUGGAGUCUGUUGACAGUGAAUACUACAACUCUUUGAAAUGGAUCUUAGAAAAUGAUCCUACCAAACUGGACCUUAUGUUCUGCAUAGACGAAGAAAACUUUGGGCAGACAUAUCAAGUGGAUUUGAAGCCCAAUGGGUCAGAAAUUAUGGUAACGAAUGAAAACAAAAGGGAAUAUAUUGAUUUAGUCAUCCAGUGGAGAUUUGUGAACAGGGUCCAGAAGCAAAUGAACGCCUUCCUGGAGGGAUUCACAGAACUGCUUCCUAUCGAUUUGAUUAAAAUUUUUGAUGAAAAUGAGCUGGAGUUGCUGAUGUGUGGCCUCGGGGAUGUGGACAUGAACGACUGGAGACAGCACUCUACUUACAAAAUGGCUACUGCCAAAUCACCCUGUCAUCCAGUGGUUCUGGAAGGCUGUGCUACUGAUGGACGCCGAGAAGCGGAUCCGGUUACUCCAAUUUGUCACAGGGACCUCCCGAAUACCCAUGAAUGGAUUUGCCGAACUUUAUGGUUCCAAUGGUUCUCAGCUGUUUACAAUAGCGCAAUGGGGAAGCCCUGAAAAACUGCCCAGAGCUCACACAUGCUUUAAUCGCCUCGACUUACCUCCAUACGAAACUUCAAAGAUUUACGAGAGAAACUCCUCAUGGCUGUGGAGAACUCUCAAGGAUUUGAAGGGGUGGAUUAA